rnacentral:rRNA from 1 species
GACGGAGGAUGCAAGUGUUAUCCGGAAUCACUGGGCGUAAAGCGUCUGUAGGUGGUCAAAUAAGUCAACUGUUAAAUCUUGAGGCUCAACCUCAAAAUCGCAGUCGAAACUAUUAGACUAGAGUAUAGUAGGGGUAAAGGGAAUUUCCAGUGGAGCGGUGGAAAUGACGUAGAGAUUGGAAAGAACACCGAUGGCGAAGGCACUUUACUGGGCUAUUACUAACACUCAGAGACGAAAGCUAGGGUAGCAAAUGGG